rnacentral:rRNA from 1 species
AGGACGAACGCUGGCGGCGUGCUUAACACAUGCAAGUCGAGCGGUAAGGCCUCUUCGGGGGUACACGAGCGGCGAACGGGUGAGUAACACGUGGGUGACCUGCCCUCAGCUCUGGGAUAAGCCUGGGAAACUGGGUCUAAUACUGGAUAUGACUGCGCAUCGCAUGGUGUGUGGUGGAAAGUUUUUUCGGCUGGGGAUGGGCCCGCGGCCUAUCAGCUAGUUGGUGGGGUAACGGCCCACCAAGGCUACGACGGGUAGCUGGUCUAAGAGGACGACCAGCCACACUGGAACUGAGACACGGUCCAGACACCUACGGGUGGCAGCAGUCGAGAAUCUUUCACAAUGGGGGAAACCCUGAUGGAGCGACGCCGCGUGGAGGAUAAGGUCUUCGGAUUGUAAACUCCUGUCAUGCGAGAACAAAGCCCGCAAGGGUCUGAUAGUAUCGCAAGAGGAAGAGACGGCUAACUCUGUGCCAGCAGCC